rnacentral:rRNA from 1 species
AAGGACAUGUGGAGAGCUAAGAAGAGAGAAUGCCGGUAUGAGUAUGCGAGAAAGAGGUGAGAAACCUCUUCACCGGAAGCCUAAGGUUUCCUGGGGAAGGCUCGUCCGCCCAGGGUAAGUCGGGACCUAAGCCGAGGCGUAAAGCGUAGGCGAUGGACAAUCGGUUGAAAUUCCGAUACCACCAUAUAACCGUUUGAAGGAAGUGGUGACACAGGAGGGUAGGUUAAGCGCACCGUUGGUCGAGUGCGUCCAAGCCAGUAGGAGGUAGAGGCAGGCAAAACCGCCUCUAUGCUAACUCCAAGAGGUAACGGGGAGCGAAAAUAAGUAGCGAACUAACUGAGCCCACACUGUCAAGAAAAGCCACUAACGAGGUUAUGAGGUGCCCGUACCGCAAACCGACACAGGUAGGCAGGGAGAGAAUCCUAAGGUGAGCGAGAGAACCCUUGUUAAGGAACUCGGCAAAAUGACCCCGUAACUUAGGGAUAAGGGGAGCCUCAUGUAGGGUAGGUAUUUAAGCAAAUACUGGCUCGAAGAGGCCGCAGAGAAUUGGCCCAAGCGACUGUUUAGCAAAAACACAGGUACCUGCUAAGGAGAAAUCCGAAGUAUAGGCGCUGACGCCUGCCCGGUGCUGGAAGGUUAAGGGGAGAGGUGCAAGCCUUGAACUGAAGCCCCAGUAAACGGCGGCCGUAACUAUAACGGUCCUAAGGUAGCGAAAUUCCUUGUCGGGUAAGUUCCGACCCGCACGAAAGGCGUAACGAUUUGGGCACUGUCUCAACAGGGGGCUCGGCGAAAUUGUAGUACCCGUGAAGAUGCGGGUUACCUGCGGCAGGACAGAAAGACCCCGUGGAGCUUUACUGCAGCCUGAUAUUGGGCUUUGGCAUGUUAUGUACAGGAUAGGUGGGAGACUGAGAUACUAGGGCGCCAGCCUUGGAGGAGUCAAUGGUGGGAUACCACUCUUAACAUGCUAGGGUUCUAACCAGUAUCCAUGAAACUGGAUAUGGGACAGUGUCAGGUGGGCAGUUUGACUGGGGCGGUCGCCUCCCAAAAAGUAACGGAGGCGCCCAAAGGUUCGUUCAGCACGGAUGGAAAUCGUGCGUAGAGUGUAAAGGCAGAAACGAGCUUAACUGCGAGACAGACAAGUCGAGCAGAUACGAAAGUAGGGCUUAGUGAUCCGGCGGUACCGAGUGGAAGGGCCGUCGCUCAACGGAUAAAAGCUACCCCGGGGAUAACAGGCUUAUCUCCCCCAAGAGUCCAUAUCGACGGGGAGGUUUGGCACCUCGAUGUCGGCUCAUCGCAUCCUGGGGCUGAAGUAGGUCCCAAGGGUUGGGCUGUUCGCCCAUUAAAGCGGUACGUGAGCUGGGUUCAGAACGUCGUGAGACAGUUCGGUCCCUAUCCGCCGCAGGCGCAGGAGAUUUGAGAGGAAUUGCCCCUAGUACGAGAGGACCGGGGUGAACAAACCUCUGGUGCACCAGUUGUCGUGCCAACGGCACAGCUGGGUAGCUAAGUUUGGCAGGGAUAAGUGCUGAAAGCAUCUAAGCACGAAGCCCCCCUCAAGAUAAGAUUUCCCACUGGCAAACCAGGUAAGACACCUGAGAGAACAUCAGGUAGAUAGGCCGGAGGUGUAAGGGCAGUAAUGUCUUUAGCUGACCGGUACUAAUAAGUCGAGGGCUUGAUCUA